GAUGAACGCUGGCGGCGUGCCUAAUCCAUGCAAGUCGAGCGAACGGACGAGACGCUUGUUUUUCUCUUGUUAGGGGCGCAGGGGUGUGAAACCCGUGGAAACCCUCCUUAAAAUCCUGGGAUACCUUGGGGAAACCGGCUCUAAUCCCGUAUAAUCUUUUGAACCCCAUGGUUCAAAAGUAAAAGACGGCCUUGCUGUCACUUAUCGAUGGUUCCCCGCGGCUUUAGCUAGUUGUUACGGUCACGGCUUACCAAGGCAACGAUGCAUAGCCGACCUGAGAGGGUGAUCGGCCACACUGGAACUGAGACACGGUCCAGACUCCUACGGGAGGCAGCAGUAGGGAAUCUUCCGCAAUGGGCGAAAGCCUGACGGAGCAACGCCGCGUGAGUGAUGAAGGUCUUCGGAUCGUAAAACUCUGUUAUUAGGGAAGAACAUAUGUGUAAGUAACUGUGCACAUCUUGACGGUACCUAAUCAGAAAGCCACGGCUAACUACGUG
rnacentral:rRNA from 1 species